GACGAACGCUGGCGGCGUGCUUAACGCAUGCAAGUCGAACGGAAAGGCCCUGCUUUUGUGGGGUGCUCGAGUGGCGAACGGGUGAGUAACACGUGAGUAACCUGCCCUUGACUUUGGGAUAACUUCAGGAAACUGGGGCUAAUACCGGAUAGGAGCUCCUGCUGCAUGGUGGGGGUUGGAAAGUUUCGGCGGUUGGGGAUGGACUCGCGGCUUAUCAGCUUGCUUGUGGGGUAGUGGCUUACCAAGGCUUUGACGGGUAGCCGGCCUGAGAGGGUGACCGGCCACAUUGGGACUGAGAUACGGCCCAGACUCCUACGGGAGGCAGCAGUGGGGAAUAUUGCACAAUGGGCGGAAGCCUGAUGCAGCAACGCCGCGUGCGGGAUGACGGCCUUCGGGUUGUAAACCGCUUUCGCCUGUGACGAAGCGUGAGUGACGGUAAUGGGUAAAGAAGCACCGGCUAACUACGUG
rnacentral:rRNA from 1 species